AAUGAACGCUGGCGGUGUGCUUAACACAUGCAAGUCGAGCGAGAAAGUCCUUUCGGGGAUGAGUAAAGCGGCGAACUGGUGAGUAAUAUACGAGUAUCUACCCUUUAGUGAAGGAUACCUUCGAGAAAUCGAAUUCAAUACUGCAUUCGUCCCUCCGGGGAGAAAGGUGGCUUUAUGCUGCCGCUGAAGGAUGAGCUUGUACGCUAUUAGCUUGUUGGUAAGGUAAAAGCUUACCAAGGCUAUGAUGGCUAGCCGGCCUGAGAGGGUGUACGGCCACAUUGGAACUGAGAUACGGUCCAGACUCCUACGGGAGGCAGCAGUGGGGAAUAUUGCGCAAUGGGCGAAAGCCUGACGCAGCGACACCGCGUGGAGGAUGAAGGCUUUAGGGUCGUAAACUCCUGUUAGAUAGGAAGAAAAGUUUUACUU
rnacentral:rRNA from 1 species